UGCAAGUCGAACGGUAGCACAGAGAGCUUGCUCUCGGGUGACGAGUGGCGGACGGGUGAGUAAUGUCUGGGAAACUGCCUGAUGGAGGGGGAUAACUACUGGAAACGGUAGCUAAUACCGCAUAACGUCGCAAGACCAAAGAGGGGGACCUUCGGGCCUCUUGCCAUCAGAUGUGCCCAGAUGGGAUUAGCUAGUAGGUGGGGUAACGGCUCACCUAGGCGACGAUCCCUAGCUGGUCUGAGAGGAUGACCAGCCACACUGGAACUGAGACACGGUCCAGACUCCUACGGGAGGCAGCAGUGGGGAAUAUUGCACAAUGGGCGCAAGCCUGAUGCAGCCAUGCCGCGUGUAUGAAGAAGGCCUUCGGGUUGUAAAGUACUUUCAGCGGGGAGGAAGGUGUUGUGGUUAAUAACCGCAGCAAUUGACGUUACCCGCAGAAGAAGCACCGGCUAACUCCGUGCCAGCAGCCGCGGUAAUACGGAGGGUGCAAGCGUUAAUCGGAAUUACUGGGCGUAAAGCGCACGCAGGCGGUCUGUCAAGUCGGAUGUGAAAUCCCCGGGCUCAACCUGGGAACUGCAUUCGAAACUGGCAGGCUGGAGUCUUGUAGAGGGGGGUAGAAUUCCACGUGUAGCGGUGAAAUGCGUAGAGAUCUGGAGGAAUACCGGUGGCGAAGGCGGCCCCCUGGACAAAGACUGACGCUCAGUGCGAAAGCGUGGGGAGCAAACAGGAUGUAGAUACCCUGGGUAGUCCACGCCGUAAACGAUGUCGAUUUGGAGGUUGUGCCCCUUGAGCGUGGCUUCCGGAGCUAACGCGUUUAAAUCGACCGCCUGGGGGAGU
rnacentral:rRNA from 1 species